UCUCGACCAUGUCUAACCAAGCCGAAUCCGCUGAUUCUAAGGGAACGAAGAGGGAUUUUAGUACUGCGAUUUUAGAGCGCAAGAAGGCGCCGAAUCGGCUUGUUGUUGACGAGGCUACCAAUGAUGAUAACUCGGUUGUCUCGCUCCAUCCCGAAACCAUGGAGAAGCUACAGCUUUUUCGGGGAGACACGAUCCUAAUUAAGGGAAAGAAAAGGAAAGAUACGAUCUGCAUUGCUCUUGCUGAUGACACAUGUGAUGAGCCAAAGAUCUGGAUGAACAAGGUUGUGAGGUCGAACUUGAGGGUUAGGCUUGGAGAUGUUGUCUCUGUGCACCAAUGUCCUGAUGUCAAAUAUGGAAAGCGUGUCCACAUACUGCCUAUAGAUGAUACGAUUGAAGGGGUCACUGGAAAUAUAUUUGAUGCAUACUUGAAGCCUUAUUUCCUGGAGGCAUAUCGCCCCGUCAGGAAGGGUGAUCUCUUCCUUGUGAGAGGUGGAAUGCGAAGCGUGGAGUUCAAGGUUAUUGAGACUGAACCCCCAGAAUACUGUGUGGUUGCCCCAGACACAGAGAUUUUCUGCGAGGGAGAGCCUGUGAGGAGGGAAGAUGAAAAUAG
rnacentral:misc_RNA from 1 species